CAGUUUUUGUUAAUAUCUCGAAAAGAAAUGUUUUGCCUGUUGAGAUUAGCCAUUUUGGUUUGCUCUAAGUUUAUAAACAAAAAUUCAACUCAAAGAGGAAAUUAAAUCUUGUAACUGAAACCAUUCUUUGUGAACGAUUACUUAAUCCCACACACAAUCUCUUUGCUCUUUGUCUUUCACAGAUAUCCUGAGGCGUUGCAGUUCAAGUGGGAUUGUUCAAUACAAUUGGGUGUUUCUUCUUAUUUUGUUAGUUAUCAGUUUAACCCAUUAACUGAUCUCCUGCUCUCUGUUUAGUUCAUGUGUUUAAUGUGUAACAGAAAAUCUGGAAACUGGUGGAGAGAAGUAGAGCCGAUUGGGAAAUGACAUGCUGGCGUGACCUGAGGAGUUGGCUCACCCAAGGUAAAGGUGCUUCACAGAAAGAAAACAAAACAAUCUACAGAAUCACUCCAGGGGCCUGUACUAUCAGGAGGGAUCAGUGGCUUAUCAAGCUAACUUGUACUGAUACAGACAAGCAAGCAUUCUGCAUAUGUCUUUGUGGAUUGAGAACAAUUGUUUAGGAUUUGAAUUGUUUGCUCAGACGCUCCAGAACAGGCUAGCUUUCAAGAAAAGAGGUCAAGACAGAUAAAUAAUAUAGUUUCUUUACCAUCCAUAUCCUCAGAAAAAGGAAUAAAUGGAAAAAAAAAAAAAAAAAAAAAAAAAGCAGGGAAUUCA